rnacentral:rRNA from 1 species
UACGUAGGGGGCGAGCGUUGUCCGGAUUCAUUGGGCGUAAAGAGCUCGUAGGCGGCUUGGCAAGUCGGAUGUGAAAACACCAGGCUUAACUUGGUGCUUGCUUUCGAUACGGGCAGACUUGAGGCAUGCAGGGGAGAACGGAAUUCCUGGUGUAGCGGUGAAAUGCGCAGAUAUCAGGAGGAACACCGGUGGCGAAGGCGGUUCUCUGGGCAUGUUCUGACGCUGAGGAGCGAAAGUGUGGGGAGCGAACAGG